rnacentral:rRNA from 1 species
UACGAAGGGGGCUAGCGUUGCUCGGAAUCACUGGGCGUAAAGGGUGCGUAGGCGGGUCUUUAAGUCAGGGGGGAAAUACUCUAGCUCAACUAGAGGGGUGCCAUUGAUACUGAUGAGCUUGAGUACAGAUGAGGUAGGCGGAAUUGACGGUGUAGCGGUGAAAUGCUUAGAUAUCGUCAAGAACACCUAUAGCGAAGGCAGCUUACUAGGCUGUAACUGACGCUGAGGCACGAAAGUGUGGGGAUCAAACAGG